UACAGAGGUCUCAAGCGUUGUUCGGAUUCAUUGGGCGUAAAGGGUGCGUAGGUGGCGCCGUAAGUCGGGUGUGAAAUCUCGGAGCCUAACUCCGAAACUGCAUUCGAUACUGCCGUGCUUGAGGACUGGAGAGGAGACUGGAAUUUACGGUGUAGCGGUGAAAUGCGUAGAUAUCGUAAGGAAGACCAGUGGCGAAGGCGGGUCUCUGGACAGUUCCUGACGCUGAGGCACGAAGGUCAGGGGAGCAAACGGG
rnacentral:rRNA from 1 species